rnacentral:lncRNA from 1 species
AGGCUGCCCAGGGAGGGCGUGGGGUCUCCCUCUCUGGACACUUUCCAAACCCACCUGGACACAUGGGCACAUUCCUGUGUCACCUGCUCGGGGUGACCUUGCCUUGGCUGGGGCGUUGGACUAAGCGAUCUCCACAGGCCGCUUCCAGCCCUAACUAUUCUGUGAUGUCGUGAUUCAAGACGAUUUAAAUUUUAAAUUUGGAGGUGACGUGACUCCAUACACUUUGGAAAACUCCGGCCCUCGAGGCUCACCCUAAUUUGAGGUGUCCAGCAGGUAAAUGUCUCGUUAGGAGCCGUGGGUAAGCUGCCAUUGCAGCUAACGGAGACAGAGUCAAUACAGACGGAGUCUGGAGAGCUUCUCAGGUGGCCAAAUGAAGGUGUCUGCUUUAGGAUCUAAUUAAUUGCUCCCCAGGCGCCACCAAGCAUUGAACAGAUCACCACGACUUCUAAUGGCACAUCAGACACCAGCUCUCUAACCAGCAUGGUAGGCGCCCAAUAUGAGGCCUGCAUCAGGCAGGUGGGAUUUGGACUCACAAUCCUCUCACAGAGCAGGAGGUAUGUCUAAAUCAGCCAGGAGGAAGAGACGAAGAGAUAGCACAUUGGAAAUCCCGAUUUAUCCCAAGGUGAGCUUCUUUCUUCCCAAGAGAAUCCAAAUUGGAUUCACAGCAUGAAACCUAUCGUGUACUUUGUGUCUUUGGCCACAGACAACCAGCUUAUUCUCUGCUGUUAAAGCACAGCUGGAAGAAAUUAUUUGCUACAGAAAUUUUCCUUCUUUCUUUCAAAUGCAAAUUACUCUGGCUGCUGUAUGCUACAUAUGCAAACUGUCUUGUCAGAGCACUGCUGAAUGCCUGAAACCACACAGAAGUGACAGUCAACCCCCAUUUCUAAGGAAUGGAAGGUAAAUAAGGCGGUGCAAAGCUUGUAAUAUUUCUAGCAUGAAACUACUUUGGGAAAAGCUUGGGUGCCUCCUGAAGCUUUAGGGAUCUAAUGAGGUUCUCAUGGUUUAAUUAAUUACCAUUUUGAACUUUCUUGACUAACCUCCACUUAAAGUAAUUAAGCCUUUUUGUGGAUCUG